ensembl:lncRNA
UCUGGGGCACCUUGUCUGGCUGCUCAAGCAAGGAGGAGAGUACUGCAAGCAGGGAAUUGCUCUGGGGACCCGCUGCACCACAAAGAACAGUCCAGCAGGGAUGAGUGCUACUACGCCCUUUGUCCUGCUGCUCUCAGCCAUGAUUACAAGACCGGUCUCCAUCCUCCCAAGCUCUGCUUCAUCCCAUGCAGCACACAAGUCCCUUCUCUUCCACUUCAUCCCACUCAGUCCUGUUAGGUCAGCUUUCCCCUUUGCACAUGGAGCCUCUCACCACACACUCUCUCAGCGGUUCCCACUGAGCCCACCAGCCCUUCAGCAAUAUCACCUUCCUCAGUCCUUCCCUGCCACCCCGCUAAAUAUCCACCACUUCACAGUGCAGGCUGGCUGGGUGGUUUGUUGCUGAUACCUGGCUCCGAACGAAGGCAUCACUCUCAGAGUAUUUCCAGCACCAUCUGCCGCUUUCCUUUAUUUCAGUUUCUAGAAAGGGUUUUACUGUAGCAGAGAGGCAGCAGAGGAAUCUGGAUAUGGCUGACACAAAUCCCAGAAAACGUUUGUCUGUUUGCCUUACACGCUAAUUAGUGCCGACUUGGUCAAAAGUGCUCUG